GACGAACGCUGGCGGCGUGCUUAACACAUGCAAGUCGUACGGUAAGGCCCUUUCGGGGGUACACGAGUGGCGAACGGGUGAGUAACACGUGAGUAACCUGCCCACAACUUUGGGAUAACGCUAGGAAACUGGUGCUAAUACUGGAUAUGUGCUCCUGCUGCAUGGUGGGGGUUGGAAAGCUCCGGCGGUUGUGGAUGGACUCGCGGCCUAUCAGCUUGUUGGUGGGGUAGUGGCCUACCAAGGCGGCGACGGGUAGCCGGCCUGAGAGGGUGACCGGCCACAGUGGGACUGAGAGACGGCCCAGACUCCUACGGGAGGCAGCAGUGGGGAAUAUUGCACAAUGGGCGCAAGCCUGAUGCAGCAACGCCGCGUGCGGGAUGACGGCCUUCGGGUUGUAAACCGCUUUCAGCAGGGACGAAGCUUUUUGUGACGGUACCUGCAGAAGAAGCACCGGCUAACUACGUG
rnacentral:rRNA from 1 species